rnacentral:lncRNA from 1 species
CAAAGGACGGAGCUUUGAAUCCACCUGGGAGGCUUAAGAGAAAGUGCUGAGUCCCCCAUGCCCUACCCCUGAGACUGCUGACAGGCAUCGCUGAGGGCUGCAGCUUUGGAAUCGGGCAUCUUCUGAGGAAGAGAAAGGCACCACAGCCACGGCACAGAAGACUAGGGGAGCCAGCUUCAGCUUUUGCCAAGUGUUUGGUUCAUCUGACGCUUGGUGAAGUCACAUGCAUCUGCUGCCCUGACAUCCAGGAGAAGGAACCAUCUGGCUCAAGAAUCCAUUACAGAAGAGGCCGUCAGCACCCGUCACUUGUGCCUCCCCAUGUCCAGCUGAGUUUCUUUCUCUCUGCUCAACUCCAAAGUGUUGAUGAGUCAAUCGAUGCGGCCCUUGCCACUGCGUCUCACUGGGAAUUCCGGUGAGGUGGCCGUCUGCCUGCGUG